GCUGAACUUAAGCAUAUCAAUAAGCG
rnacentral:ncRNA from 2 species